CCUUUGGGACUGGUUUAGAAGGUGUUCUAACCUGAGCGAGGGUGCGACCAACCUUUGGAUCACAAUCAGUUGGCAUUGGAGAGCAAUUAGAAGCUUAACUUAAGCAGAGUUGGGGCUUCGUUGAGCAGAGUUUCGGGACUCCUUUUGGCUGGAUUGAGCUUGGUGAUAGGUGGGUCGGACCUUCCCGAAAUGGGUGAAUUCCCUCUAUGUCUCCUUUGACAUCUGAGUUGAAGUUAUUUCAUAUUCAAGUGAAUACAUGUAUAGUUUAAGGCAUUGAGACAUGCACUGAUAUGUAGAUCAUAUCGGAAAUGAUAGCAUUUUUAAAUGGUAUGAAAGCUUCAUGACUUAUCCAUUUUACAUGGUUACUUGUUAAGUACUAUGGAUUCAUGAUACUAGUAGCU